ncrna:unclassified sequences HNH endonuclease-associated RNA and ORF (HEARO) RNA
GUCAGCGACCCCCGGCUAAAGCCGGGAGCUUGUAAAGGCUCAUGCUGACCAGCCUAUGUCUGCUUAAGCAGACGCCGUUACGGGUGAAUGGCAACCAUAGGUUGCUUGAUAGGCACUCCGGGGUGACUGAACCAGCCCCGGACCCUGCGGUGAGUGGUUAAACAUGCUGAGGGUCUAAGCAAGUGCUGCUCACAAGAAACCGCCCGAUAACAUUGGCGAGGUUCACUUUAC